rnacentral:lncRNA from 1 species
UGGAUUUAUACAAAAAUAUCUGCUAGAAUUAUAUAUGGGAUUACACUGAACUUGUGAUUAAUUUGGGGAGAAUUAACAUCUAAAUAAUGAUAUUUCAGUCCAUGAACAUGGUAUAUUUCUCAAUUUAUUUAGAUAUCUUUUUAAUUUCUUUCAGUAAUAUUUUGUAGCUUUUGCCUGAUUUUUCUUGAAAUUAUUUUCUGAAAGUUUAUGGUUUUGUUGCUAUUAUAAAGGAUGUUAAAACUUUAUUUUCCAAUUUUUUCUGCUUUAUAUGAAAGUUCAAUUGACUAAAAAAUUAGUCAGGGUGCACCUUUCUUUCAAAUUAUAGUUUUCUCCAGCAAAAUGCUCAAGAGUGGGAUUGUAGGAUCAUAUGGUAACUCUGUUUUUAGUUUUGUGAGGAACCUCCAUGUCCUGUUCUCCGUAGUGACUGGACUACAUUCCCACCAGCAUGUAGGAGAAUUCCUUUUUCUCCAAACCUUCUCUAGCAUUUAUUUAUAGACUUUUUGAUUAUGGCCGUCCUGGCCAGAGCAAGGUGAUAACUCAAUGUAGUUUUUAUUUGCAUUUCUCCAAUCACUAGUGAUGUUGAGCAUUUAUUUCAUGUGCCUGUUGGCCAUCUAUAUUGUCUUCUUUGGAGAAAUUUCUGUUAAGAUCUUUUGCCCAUUUUUUGAUUGGGUUGUUUGUGGUUUUUUAUUGUUGUUAUAUUGAGCUGUAUGAGCUGUUUGUAUAUUUUGGAAAUGAAUCUCUUAUCAGUCAUUUCAUCUGCAAAUAUUUUCUCCCAUUCUGUAGGUUGUCAUUUUGUUUUGUUUAUGGUUUCCUUGAAGUCUUUUGGACUCAGGUCUUACCUCUUGUUAGAGUCCUCACUGAGUUUCUUCAGUCCAUGAUCAUACCCUCUUUUGCUAAACUCUUUCCCAAUGAUUAUUUGCAUUAUGAAUCAGAAGCAUACAAUUGACAAGAAAGCUCCUUGGAUAGCACUGUUUAAGCCCUAUUCACUAAUCUGUCUCUGUGCUUAGCACUAUUCCUGAUUUAGGUAGAUACUCAUCAUGUUUGGAUAAAUGAAUGAAGAAAAGCAGGAUGCUCUUUUCUGGGGGGGGGAGGAGAUGGAAGGCACCAUGUGAACACAGUAAAUCAGUAAGGAUACUGUAGAAACAUGAAAUAACCAAGACUUGCUGUAGAAGAAGGGGGUGUUUGAAAGAGAAUAUAUUUUACUGCUGCUGAGAAGAGACUUAAUGAUAGGAAAAUGAUAGGGAGGGAGUGGGAGACAUCAUUUUAUGCCCUUUUUCAGAGGAAGAGUUAAAACCAAAAGUACAAUAUACUGAAUUCCUGAGCCAAAAGAUGGAUUCAGUUAUACCAAUAUAUUUAUUUGCUCUUAUGAUGGCAGGAGGCAACUGGGAUUUAAGCCUUUAUGUUUCUGUUCCAUUUAGAAUGCAGCCCAAAAGCCAGCUACAUUAACCAGGUAAAUUUUGUUCAUCCAACAGGUAUAAGUCAAGUCUGUGACUGAACAACUAUGAGAUACUACAUUUCGUUAUAUAUUUUUAAGGGCCUGGCAGCAUAUAUUGUGGUUUGGUCUGAGCCACGAGUGUAGGGUGAAUCUAAAACACAUUAUGUGGGUCCAUGCAGCCUUGAUAACUAUUUUGACAAAGACCUGUAGAUGCCUCUCAGUAAGAACCAGAAUUGUUUCACUUACUUAAUACUGUCCAAUAUACUAAUUUCAGACACUCUCAGUUGUUUCUGUUGGUAAGAAAAAUACAGAAAAAUGAUUUAUGGAAUUAUAAGAACAUAGAAAUAGUAGAAGACAUGAAAUCACCAAGUUAUUUAUGCUAAAUAACCACAAAAGUCCAGAAAAAGAAAAUAAUGUCUAGAUAUUUGCAGUACUAGAUAUAAAUUAUGUGAGAGUAAAAGUGAUAAAUCACUCUUCGAAUAGCAAUCUUCCAAUGUCAUAUAACUUAUUUUAAUAAGCUUGCUAGAGUGUUUAUCAAAUCUUCAUGAAUCUAUUUUAGAAAAUAACUUCAGGGGAGGGGAAGAGAUAUGUGGUAGUAGAAAGACACAGAAACAUAGAUACUAAAUUUUUCCCAGGACAAAAUAUAGGGCAGUUUCUGUUCUUCAGCUCCAAGGGCCAAAUGCCCUGGUGGAACUAAUGGCUAACACAUGAAUGCAGUCAAAAUAUGGUCUGCCCACCUAUUUUGAGGUUAACUUCUGCAUACUGCUCACUAAUGCAUCCAUAGGGUCUACAUCAGCACCUGGCGCAUAUAAUGGUUAAGUGCUCAGUAAAGUGUUUAAUGAUCUGAAGCUAGUUUUUAUAAGAGAGGCAUGAGCAUUGUGAGUCUGGGUUUGUUUAGAGGAUAUUUUUAACAAGUGUUUAUUCUCUCCAUGUAAAAAUAGGAGAAGGGGCUUCAGUUCUAUACUGCACAUAAUUUGGACUCAAUGCUGUGUUUUCCACCUCUCGUAAUCCAGGAAACCUCCAAUUUACAAAUGAAUUUUGCUAUAGGAGUUUGGCCACAUGUUUUCACCAUUGUAUUUCCACUAGUGCAUUUUAUUAGUUUAUUUUGGUAUUUAUUGUGUGUGUGUAUACACACAAUUGUAUGUACAUUUCAAAGAUGAAACACAUAGUUCUAGACACAGCACAGCAGCUAGUGGAGGGAACACAGGUAUAGAGAAACAAUUUCAGUGUAAAGCUGAUGGCCAAAUAUGCCUGAGUGGAAACCAUAAACAAUGUGGUAUUUGAGAAUGAGAUGAGAUGUAAGUUCUAACUGGCAAAAAAAAAAAAA